rnacentral:misc_RNA from 1 species
GGCCUUUAUUGAGUUCGUGAUGACAAAUAAUCAUGCGUUCACCAUCGGCGGAGAAACUGCAAUUCAGAGAUUUAUAAACAAACUGCAACCACUCUAUAAGACUUUCUAGGGUACCAGUGUUAAAAACAGGGUCAUGAAAACCUGUGUCACGACGAGGCGAUGAGGUUGUCCAGAAGCUUAAUCACUACAGAGUUUCCUUAACGACCGACAUGUGGACAUCUCAAAAUAAUCUUGCUUUCAUGGGCAUAACGGCAACGUUCCUAGAUAAAAAGUUCAAUCCAUCCGAUAUUAUUAUUGGAUUCCAGCACGUGCCAGGGGAGCAUUCUGGUGUAAACCUGGCAAACAGUUUUUACGAAACCAUUCAGUCGUAUAAUCUUCAGGAAAAGGCAAGUUCCUCACAUAUCGUUAAUGUAAUGUGGUCAAUCAAUACUUUUGUUUGUUUUUUUUUGUUUUUUUUUGUUGUUACCCAUCACCACUGACAAUGCGAGUUCAAACGAGACAUUUUUCGAUCAAAUUGUCAAGCUUACAGAAAAAAAAAUUGCAAACCCAUUCAAUAAGGACAAGUGAAUACGCUGUUUCGCACACAUAUUGAAUCUCUGUAUAAAAUGUGCACUGGAGUGCAAGCUUAUUGACAAGUUGCGCAAUCUAGUAACAUAAAUCAGGGCUUCCCCAAAAAGAAUUCAGAAAUUCAAAAAAAUUCUGAUGGACCUUAAUUUGAGUAAUUCUAAAUUGCAAUACGAAGAGGAAGAAGUAUUGUUGUCCACGCUGAAUGGAGUAGAUGAGGGAGAUCUCUUGCCCAUAUUGGAUGUUCAAACUCGUUGGAGUUCAACUUAUUACUUUCUUAAGGGCUCAUUGUGGCUGGAAAACGCCAUAAAUGAAAUCGCAAAAGACAAGGAUCUUAGGAAGAAUGAAUUGCAACCGGGAGAAUGGGAGAUAGUGAAAGAAGUCUUCAAGUUUCUUAAAAAUUUCACUAUCAUCACGUCUUACAUCGAGGUAGUGACGGGCCGUUAACUUUAACGAUUAACGAAAACCUCCGUUAACGAAGCCUUUUUUGGUCCCAUUAACUAACGAAUAACGAAACGAUGCAAAAUUAAAAUAACCGUUAAUUGUUUUCGUUAUUUACAAAAUAAAUAUUGAGCAAAAAGGAAAAUUCAAAAUUGCCAGAAAUCGUCAUUCGAUCAGACGACUACAUAAAACUUGACAAGGCCGCAUAAGACAAUACGUCAUUUAGUCUUCUGCUAGAGUUCUCUGAAGUCUUAUCUCGUGUUCUGGAGUUCUGCUUCUUUAAGCAAUUUUUUGAAAGAAUAUUAAUGGGAAAUUAUCGACAAUGGCUUUAAACUAUGUCUCUGACGAAGAAUUUGAGUCAGAUGAGCAUUCUUAUUCUGCCACUCAACAAUCGAAAAAACGCCAUAUUAUACACAACUUCUUUGUGUAUAGUACAAAAACAAACAAAAGCCAAUGCAAAAAAGAAAGCUGCAAGGCAUUAAUGAAUGGGAAAAACACAACAAACCUGAAAAAUCAUCUAAAAAGCCCUGUUAUGAAACAGAGUAUGCUAGUUUUGUAAAAGAAGUUUCAGACCAAAGAGAUGCUAGCUCAGCCAAAAAAAGCAAAAGCAAAGUACGGGAUCAGUCAACUUCAACAAAUCAACAUAAUCUAUUGCAGGAGAUCAAUUCGAAGAACACGCUUUAUGGGGUUAACAGCAAAAAGCAACUUAGAUUACGUAAGAGAUUCUCUUUUUUUGCUGGCUCAACAUCAUUUUCAUAUGUCUUGGCAGAAAACUUGGAUUUUAAACAAUACAUCAGUGAAUUGGAUCCCCGUCACGUGAUUCAAAAUAGAAAGUGCUUACGCAAGGACAUUUUGGCUAUAGCCAAAAAAGGAAAAGUUUAAUUCGAAAUCGAAUAAUUAAUGCUUUAUCAAAGCCUCUGUCUACUGCCGAUAUUUGGACAAAAAAAAUGCUUACGUCGUCUUGUUAAGGAAUUACUGUUCACUACGUCUCAGCUGACAAGACACUUGAGGAAGCUGUAAUUGAAUUUAUUCCUUUCCCACCUCCCCACACCAGGGAUGCAAUUGGUGAACUUGUGAAAAGGACGUUUCAGGAAUGGAACUUAAAAGUUCCCAUUAUUGUAACUGAUAAUGGGAGCAAUAUGGUUAAGGCUUUUAAACUAGACCAAUCUAACCACAUGGAAGAGAUUAUCAACUCUGUUGUCAACGAGAGCAACAAGGAAUCAGAAGAAGUUAGCUUAUAUUCGGAUGUUGACCAGAACAGAGAUUCAAACACUGAACCUGAUUCUGACGAUCGUUCAAAAAUUGAUCCCCAUUCUGACGAGCUCUCAAGUGAAGAAACCCAUCAUCAGAUUAACAUCGAAAAUGAGGAGGUGAAGUAUCAGCAAUUUGAGAAUCAACUCACGGAUUCUCUAAGAACAUUCAUAAAUCCGACAAGCUCGAGUUCACCAGCCGAAGAUAGAGAAGAACUGUUAAGAAAGCCAUGCAUAAGCCAUAUGCUACAACUGGUCAUGGCAAUAUUUGAUAAAUUCAAGUCGAGCUCAACGUCCAAUUCAAAUUCAACUGCCACUGUGCCCGCGUUUGUGAAAGUCAUUUCAAGCGCAAAAAGGCUUGUAAGUAAAUUUAACACUUCCUCAAAAGCAACUCCAAUGUUGAUCGCGAAAUGCAACAAAAAACUGAUUGCUGAUUGCUCCACAAGGUAAUCAUCCAACUACCUCGUAUUUGAGAGGCUCAUUCAAGUGCGAAAAUAUGUGAAUGAAGUCUGCGAAGAAUUAGGCUGGGAUGGAUUGUCGAAUUCUGACUGGGCGAUGUUGAAGUCCAUAGUUGAUCUAUUGGCCCCAUUUGCACUGUACACACAGCUUGUUAGUGGAAGCAAGUACAUAACAUUUUCAGCAGCAAUCCCGACCAUUGAAGAACUGAAACUGCAUUUAGAAGCAUGUGCUGAAGUAGUUGGCUUGAAUCUUGUAUCUAACGCUAUGCUGGUUGAUCUGAAAAGAAGAUUUGAUUUUAUAACCGUCCCUUCAUCGUCACAUUUUGAUCCCACAUACCUGUUAUCUACCAUCUUGGAUCCAAACUACAAUCUUUUUGUGAUCAACAAUUCUGCUAUGCGGAACACAGCCAUCAAGAAUGUUCUUAAAGUUGCAAAACAAAUGGGAGUUUCAUUUUCUUCAAAACCCGUUACCGAGAAUGAAGAGACAGACUUGGCGAUGAAAGAGAGAAGAACACCAGAAGAUGGUUUGCCAAAAAAUUUAUUCCAAACUUCUUUCCGACGACUAUACCAGAAAACUGUUAGUGCUGCUAACGCUGGUAAUAAUAGUCACUCAUCGUCUUCAUUAUCCACUUUUUCAGACGGGGAGUAUAAAAAAAGUAAAAUAAAAAAUCAUAGAUUUUUUUAUCAUAAGAAGAAAGUAUUACAUCUGUUUUGAUUGUUGCUGUAAUGCAUAACAAC